AGAGUUUGAUCCUGGCUCAGGACGAACGCUGGCGGCGUGCUUAACACAUGCAAGUCGAACGGAAAGGCCCUCACCUUGGUGGGGGUGCUCGAGUGGCGAACGGGUGAGUAACACGUGGGUGAUCUGCCCUGUACUUCGGGAUAAGCUUGGGAAACUGGGUCUAAUACCGGAUAGGACCAUGGUUUAGUGUCUCAUGGUGGAAAAAUUAUUGUUUUGGUGCAGGAUGAGCUCGCGGCCUAUCAGCUUGUUGGUGGGGUAAUGGCCUACCAAGGCGUCGACGGGUAGCCGGCCUGAGAGGGUGGACGGCCACAUUGGGACUGAGAUACGGCCCAGACUCCUACGGGAGGCAGCAGUGGGGAAUAUUGCACAAUGGGCGCAAGCCUGAUGCAGCGACGCCGCGUGGGGGAUGACGGCCUUCGGGUUGUAAACUCCUUUCGUUAGGGACGAAGCCACACUUUUUUUGGGUGUGGUGACGGUACCUUUGUUAAGAAGCACCGGCUAACUACGUGCCAGCAGCCGCGGUAAUACGUAGGGUGCGAGCGUUGUCCGGAAUUACUGGGCGUAAAGAGCUCGUAGGUGGUUUGUUGCGUCGUCUGUGAAAUUCCGGGGCUUAACUUCGGGGUGGCAGGCGAUACGGGUAUAACUAGAGUGCUGUAGGGGAGACUGGAAUUCCUGGUGUAGCGGUGGAAUGCGCAGAUAUCAGGAGGAACACCGAUGGCGAAGGCAGGUCUCUGGGCUGUAACUGACGCUGAGAAGCGAAAGCAUGGGGAGCGAACAGGAUUAGAUACCCUGGUAGUCCAUGCCGUAAACGUUGGGCACUAGGUGUGGGGGACAUUCCACGUUUUCCGCGCCGUAGCUAACGCAUUAAGUGCCCCGCCUGGGGAGUACGGCCGCA
rnacentral:rRNA from 1 species